rnacentral:rRNA from 1 species
UACACAUGCAAGUCGAACGAUGAUGCCCGUGCUUGCACGGGUGGAUUAGUGGCGAACGGGUGAGUAUCACGUGAGUAACCUGCCCUUGACUCUGGGAUAAGCCUGGGAAACUGGGUCUAAUACCGGAUGCGACCAGUCCCCGCAUGGGGUGCUGGUGGAAAGAUUUUAUCGGUCUUGGAUGGACUCGCGGCCUAUCAGCUAGACGGUGGGGUAGAAGCCCACCGUGGCGAUGACGGGUAGCCGGCCUGAGAGGGUGACCGGCCACACUGGGACUGAGACACGGCCCAGACUCCUACGGGAGGCAGCAGUGGGGAAUAUUGCACAAUGGGCGCAAGCCUGAUGCAGCGACGCCGCGUGCGGGAUGACGGCCUUCGGGUUGUAAACCGCUUUCAGCAGGGAAGAAGCUUUAUUGUGACGGUACCUGCAGAAGAAGCGCCGGCUAACUACAUGCCAGCAGCCGCGGUAAUACGUAGGGCGCGAGCGUUAUCCGGAAUUAUUGGGCGUAAAGAGCUCGUAGGCGGCUUGUCGCGUCUGCUGUGAAAGCCCGGGGCUUAACUCCGGGUGUGCAGUGGGUACGGGCAGGCUAGAGUGCAGUAGGGGAGACUGGAAUUCCUGGUGUAGCGGUGAAAUGCGCAGAUAUCAGGAGGAACACCGAUGGCGAAGGCAGGUCUCUGGGCUGUUACUGACGCUGAGGAGCGAA